CUACAGCUCCACUUUGUUGUGCUGCUACUACUACUUAAGCAGUCUUUCAGGAUUGAGGAUGACCUGCUUCCACGCCAGUUACUGAUGGUGCCAAUACUGAUGGGUCCCACAGAUUCUACCACAGAUGGGGCAGGAGGUAUCUGAUGAGAUGAGCAGAUGGGUAGCUUGUCAGAAGUGGCUCCUGAGAUGGGAACUGGUCUACUUUUUCCCUGUAUCUCACCAUGAACCUUUAGCAUCAAACACCAGUAUUGUACAGUGUUAUAGUGUCGAUGAUGACCUGGAGUUCAGCGCCCAAACAUUUGCAAGUGUGAGCAGUGUCAGUACACUGCAGCUCAUCUCCCAAAGUCGGAGCGACCUUGGUUCUGAAGCAAAGGUGAGACUCAGGCAGUGUGUCUCAAAGUAAUUCCACAGCUUGGGUCCUGUAUUACGCUGAGCCUCACCGAUUAAGUUGGAGCCAGAAUCCAAGCAGGAAUUUGCACUAAUGGAGCUGCUCCAGGGAAAAGUGGAUUUAUUAGAAGGUGAGCAGCAAGCAGGAAUUGCAAGCUACGGACAAUAAUAUUGUAAAAGGAAUUCACAGGGUGGAGCUAAAAGGACUUCCAAUUGGGAAAAAACAGGAUCACGGAGCGUACUCUCAGUACAAGUGGUCAACUAUUUAAAACAGACGUGAACAGAAGUAACUUCACUCAACUCUUUGGUGUUCUCUACCUCAAAAGGGCUGUAUGAUCUCAGUCAUUUAUUGCUCUAUUACUCAAUUCUCAACUCCGCCUCAGGAAGAAAAGGCCAGAUGGACUAAGCAAAAGAUGUCAGAAAGUUCUCAAAGCCUCCUUGAAGAAACGCAAUAUCCCCACUGAUUCCUGGGAAUUUCUGGCCUAAGACCACUCAAAGUGGAGAAGGAACAUUCUGGAAAGUAUGAAAAGCUUGAGUCCAUGCUUCGGGAGCACAUAGAAGCCACCUGUCUGUUCUGUCGGGCACUUCUUGCCCCAUCUUUGGAAGAUCCUACGUUUCCCCACAUUGGCUGCAUGUCACCUCAGAACCCAAAAAACCAGAAUGAAAGCAAAACAUCCUCACUCCAGAGGGACCGUCUAAGAAGAAUAUGUAAGACAGUGGUCAAUAAUUUCAAGGAAUAUUGCGACCAGAUGAGAGAGUGGACUUAUGUUAUUGGAUCAGCUAUGACCUUGAUGGACAAUGGAGCAGGUUAGAGGUGCUGAAUGUUCUACUCCUGCUUUUAUUGCAAUAUAUACAUCUUCAUCAAUUACAGUCAAAAUACCAUUCUGCCAUCCUUAGCCACCUAACUGGAUUAUCUCUGGAUAAUUAGAUUUGUUUUAUUAUUUAUAUAAUCUACAGUUUUGAAAUUUCUAAUAGUAAAAGCUCAGAAUAACAGUGAAGUCAACCUUUAAUAAGAGAAAGUAUUUCAUUAAAGGAUUAGUAAAGCAGAUGAUUUUCUUUCCAUUCUGUACUGCCGCGAUUCUCAACCCGUACAUGAAAUGUUCAUCUCAACUUUUAAAAAAAUGAUAUAAACAUCUUACAACAAUAAAAAGCCAAUUUCAUUCACUGUGGUAAGAGAGAGUUGUAUUUUUCCAAAAUUUCCACCAUAGGGAAACUAAUUGAAUUUUAGUAUCGUUAAUGUGACCAAUGAAUUCAAUUGGGCAGGCUAGCAAUUUGCCAACUCUGCAAGUAAUUUAAAAGAUAUUUUAAAAUAUCCCUUAGUCUCUGAAACAAUCCUAUUUAUUUAAUAAUCACUGCUAGCACAAUAGAUUUGGAUGUGGAACUACUGCUAGGUUUCAAUUUAAGGAUCAUAAAUUUUCCAUAGAUUAAUUUCUUUCUGCUAUGCUGCUUUAACUUAAAACCUAAACUGUUAAUCAUUACAAAUGGUCUCA